ACUCCUACGGGAGGCAGCAGUGGGGAAUAUUGGACAAUGGGCGAAAGCCUGGUCCAGCCAUGCCGCGUGUGUGAAGAAGGUCUUCGGAUUGUAAAGCACUUUAAGUUGGGAGGAAGGGCAGUAAGCUAAUACCUUGCUGUUUUGACGUUACCGACAGAAUAAGCACCGGCUAACUCUGUGCCAGCAGCCGCGGUAAU
rnacentral:rRNA from 1 species